rnacentral:rRNA from 1 species
GACGAGGGGUCCUAGCGUUGUUCGGAAUCACUGGGCGUAAAGCGUUUGUAGGCGGCCCUGUAAGUCGGGUGUGAAAUCCCACGGCUCAACCGUGGAAGUGCAUUCGAAACUGCGGGGCUUGAAUAUGGAAGAGGAGAGUAGAAUUCCUGGUGUAGUGGUGAAAUACGUAGAUAUCAGGAGGAAUACCGGUGGCGAAGGCGGCUCUCUGGUCCAAUAUUGACGCUGAGAAACGAAAGUGCGGGGAUCAAACAGG